rnacentral:rRNA from 1 species
CAGUCGCCGCGGUAAAACGGAGGGUGCAAGCGUUAUCCGGAUUCACUGGGUUUAAAGGGUGCGUAGGCGGAUCUGUAAGUCAGUGGUGAAAUCUCCAGGCUUAACCUGGAAACUGCCGUUGAUACUAUAGGUCUUGAAUUUUGUGGAGGUUAGCGGAAUAUGUCAUGUAGCGGUGAAAUGCAUAGAUAUGACAUAGAACACCAAUUGCGAAGGCAGCUGGCUACACAACUAUUGACGCUGAGGCACGAAAGCGUGGGGAUCAAACAGGAUUAGAUACCCCCGUAGUCCCUGUCUCUUAUAC